rnacentral:rRNA from 1 species
GACGAACGCUGGCGGCGGGCUUAACACAUGCAAGUCGAACGGAAAGGCCCUGCUUUGGGGGGGUGCUCGAGUGGCGAACGGGUGAGUAACACGUGAGUAACCUGCCCUUGACUGUGGGAUAACUUCAGGAAACUGGGGCUAAUACCGGAUAGGAGCUCCUGCUGCAUGGUGGGGGUGGGAAAGUUUCGGCGGUUGGGGAGGGACUCGCGGCUUAUCAGCUUGUUGGUGGGGUAGUGGCUUACCAAGGCUUUGACGGGUAGCCGGCCUGAGAGGGUGACCGGCCACGCUGGGCCUGAGAUACGGCACAGACUCCUCCGGGACGCAGCAGUGGGGAAUAUUGCACUAUGCGCGGAGGCCUGAUGCAGCAACGCCGCGUCCGGGAUGACGGCCUUCGGGUUGUAUUCCGCUUUCGCCUGUGCCGAAGCGUGAGUGACGGUAAUGGGUAAAGAAGCCCCGGCUAACUACGUG